rnacentral:lncRNA from 1 species
UCUAUGACCCUUGGAAUAUUCACAAGAGGUGCUGGUGACAUUCAACUCUUCUUUAAAUAGUCAAGCGAGACCGAACAGAGUCACAUAUAUACAUGUAAUAACAAAUCAUCGCAUUCCAAGAUGGCGUAGCAGUCGGAUGUGUGUUUGUCUUGUCCCGUCUUGUCCCGUGUACAUAGUCGUUUUCCUUGUUUUUACUUAUAUAUUUCGUAUAUAUUUUAAUCUCACUUUCCAUCUACGAACUGAAUAUACUUUCCUGCAACCCGCCUCACCCAAUGUGGUUGCAGCUGUAAAUGAGAACUUGUUCUCAACUGGCCUACCUGGUUAAAUUGUCACGCCUGCUCCCGCUCUUCCUCCCUCUGGUGCUCGAGGGCGCCAGACUCCCCAUUAUUACGCACUCAAGCCACCAUCAAAUCCCGGAGCCAUCACACGAAGCAGGUCAUCACACGAAGCUGUGGUACUGGCGUUCCGGUUGGUGGUGAUGUCGGUUCUGGGUCGCCGCUGAUGGACCCGGGGUUGCCUAGCCAGCUCGUCGGGCUUCCACGCCCUAGCUGGCUCAAGAAGUUUCCUUGCCCCGGUUGGCUCGGAAGGCGCCCAUCCCACGUCGGGCCUCAGCUGGAUCGUCAGGUCCUGUUCGCCCAGCCGGCUUGUCAGACUGUCACGUCUCCGUCGGAUCAUCGGGCUUCCACGUCGCAGUGGGAUCGACAGGCGUUCAUGCCUCAGCCGGCUCGCCAGGCUCCCACGCCCCUGCCGGUUCGUGGGGAAUUUACCCCCAGCCUCCAACUCAAGCCACCAUCAGUACGCACACCUGCCUUCCCUCACGUGGAGUCAAUUACUUGUGUCAUUACCUUCCCUAUAUCUGUCUGUUCCCAAGCUCUGUUCCCUGCUUCUGGAUUGAUUGUCAUAUGUCCGUGUUACCCGUGUUCUGACGCUGUUCCUGUCUUGUUCUAUGUCUGUUCCCUAUUAAAUGUUUGACUCCCCG